rnacentral:lncRNA from 1 species
CAUUCUCAGACCUAAGCCUGUGUCAGGCACUCCAGCAUAUGAAUCCCCAAAGUUCCCUACUGGGAGAAACAUGUGAGGGUCUUCUCCUUCCUUUUCCCUUUUUCACUGAAGGGCAGACUUCCAGCAUCUGAUGCCCUGUCUGCAGAGGCUGCAGAGUGCUUCAGUUUUGAAGUGGUCCCUACAAAGGGGCUCUAAGGUUGCUUUUAUCCUGCCAUGGGAUCCAGCAUUCCAUGUGGUCAUGCUCCUCUUUAGGAUAGCCUGGUGCACAGGGAGCUGGGCUCAUGCAUGCUCAGGGACUGUUCACAUUGCUUUGUGGCUCUGGGAGGAGCAGUCAUCUUUUAGAGGUCAGCUCUUGCGGCAGCGUGCUGGGUCUCAAGCCCAGAUAAUAACACCUUUCUGCAUACAUCUUUUUAUUAUGAACUUAUCUUUUUAUUCCACCUAGUGCUGCCUGCCAGCUUGCUUCAAAUCUCCUUUAGAAACAAGCAUCCCAGUAUUCCUUCUGCAGCAUUAGUACUAUAAACAAGCUGCAGUUUGCAGGCACACAAUGCACUCUCAGUGAGUCUGUUCCUUUAUUAUUCCGCAGCUGCAUUUCCUAAACGGUGUUCCUUGAAAUGCUCUUUAGGGAGAGAUUAAUAAAUGUGGCAGGAAGGAAACGGAGGGGGGAGGCUGCAGUCCAAAAGUUUGACAAAUGCUGCAUAUGAAAACUCUUCAUGGAAAUUCAAAAAGCAAACUUGCCAACAACAGUUUCUGAGAAGCCAAAGGGAAGGAUAGAUAAGCCUCUUUAGCUUCAUCUUACCCAGACUUUCCCAGGCUUCUUUGAUUAUCAAACCCAUUUUUCAUAACACAUAUUAGCCAGCAGGCCAUUGUUUCAUACAGCAUCAGAAACGCUACCCUGAGAUGGAAGAAAUUAAGGUGCGGUUAUGUCCAUGUUACAAAUGAGAAAAUUGAGGCUCGAAGAAGCCACAUGACCAAACUCAGUGUCACACAAUAAAUGCAACUUGGCACCAAAGCUGAACUCAGGGUUUAUGAAUCCAAAAUUCUCUCUCCUCUGUACCACAGUAUUUUCAUUA